rfam:Brachypodium distachyon strain Bd21 chromosome 4, whole genome shotgun sequence.
GUAAUACUCCCUCCGUCUCAUAUUAAGUGACUUUCUAUUACAUGUAUCUAGACAUGUUUUAGUCAUAGAUACAUUCAUAUUUAGUUAAAUUUGAGUCACUUAAUAUGGGACGGAGGGAGUAGUUA